UGACAACGCCGCCCACCAUGAGUCCAAUGAUGGCACCUUUGUUUGAACCCACAUCUUCUGCAAAGAACACCUUGAAAACAAAUCAAGAAAAAGGACUGCAAUGGCAGGCGACAACCGGAGAAGAGCAACAACAGCAAUCAUUCAACAGUGAUGCCAUCAACGGAAUGACAUGAUAGGACAAUCCUGGGAAGAGUCUCUAAGUCUGGAAAGUCUAAAGAUAUACUUUAGCACAUUAGACUCAAGCAUGUGGUCUCCUGAAGUGUGAUGUUGGAAGAACCAGAACUAAUGCUACGAAUGUAGCGGGGAAUUGGUCCAGAUGCUUGGGAGACUCACUUAUUUGCAGGUUAGAGAGGCCAUUGAUGAAGGAAGGGGACAGCGUCUGCUCAAGCGCACGAUGCGGAGACAUAGAAGUAACCGGGUUAUACCUGGUCGGGUGGUCAGUCCUCGGUCGGCAGCAGGGCGGGCGUCGACAGGCUCAACUGGGCACAGGAAGCAAGAAACACGGAAAGCAAACAAGACAAAUCAAGAUGAGGCAACAGAAUACCUCUCAGUGAGAAAGUACAUUUUUCAAAUUCAUAUAAGAAGUCACCACUCAAGAAUAUCAGAAAGAUAUACACCCAUACUAGAAUGUUCUUGUUCUCUCCGGGGCCUCUUACCUUCGUUUUCU